rnacentral:rRNA from 1 species
CAGUCGCCGCGGGAAAACGAAGGGGGCUAGCGUUGUUCGGAUUUACUGGGCGUAAAGGGCGCGUAGGCGGACUGAUAAGUCAGGGGUGAAAUCCCAAGGCUCAACCUUGGAUCUGCCUUUGAUACUGUUUGCCUUGAGUUCGAGAGAGGUAAGUGGAACUGCGAGUGUAGAGGUGAAAUUCGUAGAUAUUCGCAAGAACACCAGUGGCGAAGGCGGCUUACUGGCUCGAAACUGACGCUGAGGCGCGAAAGCGUGGGGAGCAAACAGGAUUAGAUACCCCCGUAGUCCCUGUCUCUUAUAC